AGAACCACCAAGCCUAAUGACCUCCUCAUUGCCAUUAUCCCUUCGAGAUAGCCUUUCCAGACCAGCAUCCCCUUUCUGAUCACCCAAGUCACCAUACAGAUCCUUAAGCUUUGCCAAAUUGCUAGAUGCAGAGGUCUUCUCCUUGCUUCCAUCCCUCUGUGGAGUCGAAUGACGAUCAAAUGGAGCAACACUGUUUUGCAAAAUUCGACUUCUGCUGCUGCUUCGGCUGCGACUCCUACUCCGGUUAUGGCUUCUAUGAGAACUACUUUUCCUGUAGUGCCUACUUCCAUCAUGGCUGCUCCAUUCAUAAUCCCUUCUGCUUUCUCUCUCAGAA
rnacentral:misc_RNA from 1 species